rnacentral:rRNA from 1 species
UACGUAGGGCGCAAGCGUUGUCCGGAAUUAUUGGGCGUAAAGAGCUCGUAGGUGGUUUGUUACGUCUGCUGUGAAAACCUAGGGCUUAACCCUGGGCCUGCAGUGGAUACGGGCAGACUAGAGGUAGGUAGGGGAGAAUGGAAUUCCCGGUGUAGCGGUGAAAUGCGCAGAUAUCAGGAGGAACACCGAUGGCGAAGGCAGGUCUCUGGGCAUUAACUGACGCUGAGGAGCGAAAGCAUGGGGAGCGAACAGG